UACGAAGGGGGCUAGCGUUGCUCGGAAUCACUGGGCGUAAAGCGCACGUAGGCGGAUUGCUAAGUCAGGGGUGAAAUCCUGGAGCUCAACUCCAGAACUGCCUUUGAUACUGGCGAUCUUGAGUCCGGGAGAGGUGAGUGGAACUGCGAGUGUAGAGGUGAAAUUCGUAGAUAUUCGGCGGAACACCAGUGGCGAAGGCGACUCACUGGCCCGAUACUGACGCUGAGGCGCGAAAGCGUGGGGAGCAAACAGG
rnacentral:rRNA from 1 species